AAGCUCGUAGUUAGAAUUUCGGGGUUCUACCGUUGGUCGGGCAAUAGUCUGUACUGGCGUGUAGAAUUUCUACCUUCUGGGAACCAUCAUGUUAUUUAUUUAGUGUGGUGGGAAACCAGAACCUUUACCUUGAAAAAAAUUAGAGUGCUCAAAGCAGGCUUACGUCUGAAUACGUUAGCAUGGAAUAAUAAAAUAGGACGGUGGUCCUGUUUUGUUGGUUUCUGAAUCACCGUAAUGAUUAAUAGGGAUAGUUGGG
rnacentral:rRNA from 1 species